UUCGGGCCUCGCGCUAUCAGAUGAGCCUGCGUAGGAUUAGCUUGUUGGUGAGGUAAAGGCCCACCAAGGCGACGAUCCUUAGCUGGUCUGAGAGGAUGAUCAGCCACACUGGAACUGAGACACGGUCCAGACUCCUACGGGAGGCAGCAGUGGGGAAUAUUGCGCAAUGGGCGAAAGCCUGACGCAGCCAUGCCGCGUGUGUGAAGAAGGCCCUUGGGUUGUAAAGCACUUUCAAUUGGGAAGAAAGGUUGCGUGUUAAUAGCACGUAGCUGUGACGUUACCUUUAGAAGAAGCACCGGCUAACUCCGUG
rnacentral:rRNA from 1 species